AUACGGAGGAUCCGAGCGUUAUCCGGAUUUAUUGGGUUUAAAGGGUGCGCAGGCGGCCAUUUAAGUCAGCGGUUAAAUCGUGGGGCUCAACCCCAUUCUGCCGUUGAUACUGGGUGGCUUGAUUGCGGUCGAGGUUGGCGGAAUUCGUUGUGUAGCGGUGAAAUGCAUAGAUAUGACGAAGAACACCGAUUGCGUAGGCAGCUGACCAGACCGCAAAUGACGCUCAUGCACGAAAGUGCGGGGAUCGAACAGGAUUAGAUACCCUGGUAGUCCGCACAGUAAACGAUGAAUACUUGUUUUCGGCGAUAUAAUGUCGGAGGCAAAGCGAAGGCGAUAAGUAUUCCACCUGGGGAGUACGCCGGCAACGGUGAAACUCAAAGGAAUUGGCGGGG
rnacentral:rRNA from 1 species